UCUUUGCUCAGAUUUUCCACCAAGUACAUAGCUGUUAUUAUAGCCCCUCACCCUAGACCACUAUGAUCCUUAGAACCAUGGAUCAUGAGAGCUGAUCAUCUGGCCCAAGCCCUUCAUGUUACAAAUGAGAAACUGCUGCACCAUGGUCCUAAGGUUCUCAGCAAACUCCGGUAUCCUCUUGGGACACGCUGGGGGAUUUGGCACUCUUCCCUAAAGUGUUUUCUCCUCUGGUUUUCACUUCAGGUGCAACAUCAGCUACUUAGAAGAAUGGCUUAAAGAUAAGAAUUUACAAAAUAGCUUAGCCAAGGAAACUUUGGAACCCCUCUCUCAGGCAGCCUGGUUGCUUCAGGUCAAGAAGACCACAGACAGUGAUGCCAAGGAGAUCUAUGAAUGCUGCACCUCCCUGUCUGCUGUGCAGAUCAUAAAGAUCCUUAAUUCAUACACACCUAUAGAUGACUUCGAGAAAAGAGUGACUCCAUCCUUUGUUCGCAAAGUACAGGCUCUCCUAAAUAACCGGGAGGAUUCAUCACAGCUGAUGUUGGAUACCAAAUAUCUCUUUCAAGUCACGUUUCCUUUUACCCCCUCUCCGCAUGCUCUGGAAAUGAUCCAGAUCCCCAGCAGUUUUAAGCUAGGCUUUCUCAAUAGAUUAUAGCAGGAGGAAAAGUCAAUGCACUUUUUCCUCAAAACCUACAUGAAUGUGGUUUAUUAAUUGGAACUGGAAAUGCUUGGAAUGUGAUUUAAGGAAGAAAACAGAGUUCUCCCAACUGGGCCACAUCCUCUCUUACGGAGAUGGUGCUGCCACUGUAAUUUGGUAAGAAUUAACACACACCAGCUGUCGUUGGAAAGGCCCUGUUUAGCUUUGCAGUCCCAGCUGGCUUUUAUUUGGAAUCUGUGGAAGGCUUACGUUUUCUUCCAGGGGCCUCUUAGUCUAUUCUAUCUUGUGACAGGGCUCCACUCAGAGGGAGUGAGAUCUGGGGAUACAGCGGCUCCCAAGUUCUCUAAGGUUCAUGUGAAGCCCAGGUACACUGAUGAAGCCACAAGUGGGUUCCAGGGCUGAGUCUUCCAGAAAAUAAUGCCGUUUGGCCACCAGGGCCUGCCACGAGGUCGUCUUGCCCCAUGCCUGCUUCGGAGUGGGGAGGGUGUUGGUUCAUUGAUUCUUUUUACUAAAAGUGCCCCUGCAUAAAAAAAAAAAUUUCUUAUUUCAGACCCCUCUAAUUUUUAAGAGAAUAUUCAAACUGAAAUGAAUCAUGAAGUAUGUUUAUGUAUAUAUCUAUUUAAAACUACUAUAUUAUUAAAGCUUAAUUGCCAUGCCAUUUAUCAUUUUUUCUUCUGAAAGAACAUUUCUUUAAAUUUUAUCUGCCAACAUAUUCACCAUAAUUUUUCAUUGUUUAAUAUCUUUUAUUACUAAGUUUUAAAAGGCAACCCAAAUGAUUUUCUCUAUUUAAUCCACAUUCCAAUAUAUUUAUUUUUUAAUUGAGAAGUCUGUAUUUUGAGAAGUCUGUAUUUUCUAAGUUUUUAUGGAACUGGCUAUUCCUUGUCCCCCCAAACCUCCUUGUUUCUUCCUUUCGUAGCAAAAAUGUCAUUUGAUGAGCACUCCUAGCCUAUGGCCUGAGGACCCCUCACUUUUCUGCACCACCCCCAGAACACCAGCCCCCUCCUGCUUCUGACAGUCACAGGCAAUAGCUUUGGUUCUAGAAUACAGACAUAUGUCUUGGGAGUGGGAAUAAUACAUGAUUAUGAAGCAACAUCACCCCACUACUAUGCAAUAACGUCUUUUCAUAUUAUGAUUGUGUUCAGUUUAUUUCAAUACAUUGUAUAAGAAAAAAUGAAAAGCAGAACUUUGUAAUACUUCUAUCAAUAAAUUACCUUGAAUGAA